CCCCUGGUGGCCCAGAGGUCAGGACGCGGCACUUUCACUGCCAGGGGCCCCAGUUCAAUUCCUGGCCAGGGAA
rnacentral:tRNA from 1 species